rnacentral:rRNA from 1 species
UACGAAGGGGGCGAGCGUUGUUCGGAUUUACUGGGCGUAAAGGGCGCGCAGGCGGUCUUGAAAGUCAGGCGUGAAAGCCCCGGGCUUAACCUGGGAAUUGCGCUUGAUACUCUGAGACUGGAGUACGGGAGAGGAGAGUGGAAUUCCCAGUGUAGAGGUGAAAUUCGUAGAUAUUGGGAAGAACACCAGUGGCGAAGGCAGCUCUCUGGACCGUAACUGACGCUGAGGCGCGAAAGCGUGGGGAGCAAACAGG